rnacentral:tRNA from 1 species
GCCGCCUUAGCUCAGUUGGUAGAGCGACUGCAUCGUAAGCAGUAGGUCCCCAGUUCAAGCCUGGGAGGCGGCU